UAAAUAAAUGGUAUUGAAGAAUUUGAUCUUUAUUGUAGGAACAAUGACAAGCCACUGAAAGCUUUUCAUCAGGAGAGUGAUGUGAGCAGAUUUAUAUUUUAAAGCAGUAGUUUUCAAACUUCAUCAUGCAUUGCAGUGACUGGAGGGCUUACUAAAAUGCAAAUUGUUGGGUCCCACCCCCAGAGUUUCUGACUGAGUAGGUGUGGGAUGGAGCUGGAGAAUUUGCCUUUCUAACAUGUUCCCAGGUGCUGCUGCUGGUCUAAGGACUACACUUCUGGAAUCGCUCUUUUAGAGGGACUGCUCAGACCGCAGAGGGAAAGAAUGGGGAUGGUGGGCAAGGUUGUCCAAGACAGGAGUGGGAUACAGUGUGGAGGCUGUAUCACUAUUUCAGAAGAGAAGUAAUGGUAUGGGGAUGAAGACAAGUGGGCCUUUCAGGACAUACUUAAGAGUAAUUGGCUAAGCAUAAAAAGUGAAGGAAUAAGUGAAGCCCAGGUUUAUCACAUGGGGAACCAGAUGGAGGGUGGUACCAUUCACUAGACAACACACGAUGACUGGAUUGUUUUCUGAGGGGUCAAGGGGCAGAGUGAUGAUGAGAUUGUGUUUGAGACAUCUAAGCCAGUUUUUGGGAUGCUUGCCUUAAGCUCAGAGCUGAGUGAUGCUGCUGGUGUUACUUUGGGAAUCAUCAGUGUGGGAUUGAGAGUUGUCCUGUGGACGUAGAUGAGAUUACCCAGGAAAAUGAGUAAUGAGAGGAAAGCCAGGGAUAGAACCCUGAGAGUCAUAAAUAAUUAAGGAAAACUAGAGGAUGGAGAGAACGAGCAGCAGGAAAAUGAAGAAAUGCCAGGAGUGUGCACGCUGUCUCUCAUGAAGGCCAAGGGAAGUAUGUGUUUCAGGAGGGAGGAGAGUAGAAAACAGAGUCACAUGCUGCUGAGAAUGGAAGGAAAGUGAACAUGGAGGAGGGUGCCUUUGAUUUAACAACAUGGAAGUCCACCAUGCAUUCAUUCAGUGUUGACUGAAUGUUUUCAGUCAACAUUCAUUCAGUGUUGAAUUUCAUUUAAUGUUUUGGGCCAGGGCUCUAUGCUAGACACUGAGGUUUCCACCAUGAUCUGGAUUUUUCAACGUCUUGGAAGAGGCAGAAGCCAGACAGCAGUGGGUUUAGGAGGAUCAGAACAGAGAUAGUUUAAACCCUAUGUUCUAGAAGAAUUGGUUGGUUAUAGGAGAGAGGACAGUCAGUAGUAGUGCAGAGGGGAGAAGGUGGCAUGAGGUGUGGGAGAAGAUUUUUUUCUUAUUAAUGAUAGAAAAGACUUGAGCAUGUUGAAAUGUAGUAGGAAAACUCAAAGAAAUCGGUUAGAGGUUUAGAAGGGAAGAGGUUUUGAUAGAGGAAUGUCCAUGGGAAUGUGCGACGGGAAGGAGACCAGUGUGGGUGAGCGGUCUGCCUGCCUGUCCCGCAACAGCCAACUUUAGAUUUAGACCAGGUGGAUGCUCUGAUGUGAGGGUGCCCUCAUUUAGGUUUUCCUCUCUAUGUACCACACAGUCUGAAUUUCUAACAUUAAAGAUUUAUUUCUUUGGACUGCUUUCCUCAAGAACUCUCAAAGAUAUUCCUUGGAUGGAUAACAUAUUACAGAAAUAGGGUCUGUUGAGCAAGUGAGUUCUCAGCUUGCUGUUUGUCCUGAUGGGAGGUAGUGAGCUUGGGGUACUGAAAGGAGGGAUGGAGCCUUGAAGGUCCUUUCCUAGCCUGUGUAGUUUAACUCGGUUCAGUGUAGAGAAAUGGGCCUCUAUAAUAUUAGCAUGGUCUUUGCAGUUAUCUCCUUGAGAUCAGUUCAAAGGUGGUGGUAAACUGAGAGAAUGCAUUGAAUGCUCAGCAAGCAGAUGGGUAACUCCGCAUCCUCUGGUCCAUCACCCUGUGAGAAGGCACACGUUGCUAUUGAAAUGUUGUCAACUCUGUGUGCCCUCCUGGGUGGCAGGCAGGAUCUCAGUCCUCUUCUUGACUUCUCUUGCUUAUCUCUGAGGGCAUUGCAGAGGGUUCACGAACAGUCCUGUCAUGUUCUCCUGUGCCAGCAAAGCCUCUGGAGGGAGGUUUCUAGCUGCUGCGGCGGCUGCAGGCUCCCCUACCCCCAGAGUCUCCUUCAAUCCCAUUCUGCAAACCUUUCAAAGAGCCAGUUCAUACUGAUACCUUUUGCUCUGUGUGCAUCAGAGUCUCAUCUCUAAUGAAACGAGGAGCUUGACUUGCAUCUGUGUUUCACAGAGUCCCGUAGCUCCAUCUGUUUCCCACAGACCCAGACCUGGCUUAUGUGGUCGAGCUGGGUGACAAUCACUAUGUUUUUCUCUUCUUUACCUUUUCCCCAUCCUUCUCUGAUGUCUCCCACUAUAGAAUUAAGUCAUGUGACAGAUACUUGGGGGUUAAGGCGCUUGUGGUCCAGCCAGAGUCAGAUCCCUCAGAAUGUGAGAAGCCUUGUGUUCUGUCAUUAUAAAUUAAAGUUGGGUGUAAUGCUCCAGGCCGCUGCUGCCUGGGGACUUUCUGUGAUGGGGGCAGUGUUCUAAUCCAUUCUGACCAACAUGGUAGUCACCAGCUAACUGAAUGCAUCAGAAUUUAA